rnacentral:rRNA from 1 species
GCUAAACAGCUAGCUUAAUCAUUUAAAAACCUAUUACAAUAUUAAAUGUACCUGAUAAAACCACUAUACACCUAAUUAAAACAUUUUACCCCCUUAGUAUGUGAGACAGAAAAGGCCUCCUUAAAGCUAUAGAUAAAGUACCGCAAGGGAACGAUGAAAGAGAAAUGAAAUAAAUCAUUAAAGCAUAAAAAAGCAGAGACUGAACCUCGUACCUUUUGCAUCAUGAUUUAGCCAGUUCAACUGAGCAAAGCGCACUUUAGUUCAGUGCCCCGAAACUAAGCGAGCUACCCCGAGACAGCCUAUAAAUUAGGGCCAACCCCUCUCUGUGGCAAAAGAGUGGGAAGAUCCCCGGGUAGAGGUGAUAAGCCUACCGAGCUUAGUUAUAGCUGGUUGCCUAAGAAAUGAAUAGAAGUUCAGCCUCGCACUCCUCACCUCCUAUACAUACUCACAAUAUUAAGAGCCAGAGAAACAUGCGAUAGUUAGUCAAAGGGGGUACAGCCCCUAUGACACAGGACACAACCUUAUCAGGAGGUUAAAGAUUAUACUAAAUAAGAUACCCUGCUUUAGUGGGCCUAAAAGCAGCCAUCUAGUCAGAAAGCGUUAAAGCUCCAGCAGACAAAAAUCCAUUAUACAAAUAUUACAUCUCAAACCCCUAAACAUAUUAGGCUACUCCAUGUCAACAUGGAAGAAACCCUGCUAAAAUGAGUAAUAAGAAGGUACCCCCUUCUCCUGACCUAUGUGUACACUAGACCGGACCCCCCACUAGUAAUUACCGGACCCAAGACCAGAGGGAAUUAUAAUUAUACUCAAAAACCAAGAAAUAACUAUAAUCUACAGCCGUUAACUCUACACUGAAAGGCCACCUAAAGGAAAGACUAAAAGAAAGAGAAGGAACUCGGCAAACAUAAAGCCUCGCCUGUUUACCAAAAACAUCGCCUCCUGCCAAAACAUCGACGUAUAGGAGGUCUUGCCUGCCCAGUGACAAGUUUAAACGGCCGCGGUAUUUUGACCGUGCGAAGGUAGCGCAAUCACUUGUCUUUUAAAUGAAGACCUGUAUGAAUGGUGGAACGAGGGCUUAACUGUCUCCUCUCUCAAGUCAAUGAAAUUGAUCUGCCUGUGCAGAAGCAGGUAUACAAAUACAAGACGAGAAGACCCUUUGGAGCUUAAGAUAAAAGAUCAACUACGUCAAGAACCUCCAAACAGCAAUUAAACUAACUAGCACUUGAUCUCCUUCUUCAGUUGGGGCGACCACGGGAGAAAACAAAGCUCCCAUGAGGACCGGGGCUUAGCCCUAGAACCAAGAGAGACAUCUCAAAGCCACAGAACAUCUGACCAAAUAGAUCCGGCCACCAGCCGACCAACGAACCAAGUUACCCUAGGGAUAACAGCGCAAUCCUCUCCAAGAGUCCAUAUCGACAAGAGGGUUUACGACCUCGAUGUUGGAUCAGGACAUCCUAAUGGUGCAGCCGCUAUUAAGGGUUCGUUUGUUCAACGAUUAAAGUCCUACGUGAUCUGAGUUCAGACCGGAGCAAUCCAGGUCAGUUUUUAUCUGUAACGCUACUUUUUCCUAGUACGAAAGGACCGGAACAAGGGGGCCCAUAUUACCAAUACGCCCCACCCUUAUUUAAUGAUAACCACUAAAUUAAAUAAAAGGAGGGCCCAACCUCAAAUCAAGAGAAGAUU